GUGGUAGUAUUCCACGGUAAGGAUAAGGCUGUGAACCUUAUUCUCUACCGCUGUAAGGCGGUAGUCAGAGAACGAUUUUAGCGCCGACCUAUUUAUUAGGGAAAGCGCCUGUUUAAAACACUGUGACAAUCGUGAAUUGAGGAGAGAUCCAUGCAGGUCAGCAGAAGGCAGUUCUUUAAG
rnacentral:sRNA from 1 species